UACGGAGGGAGCUAGCGUUGUUCGGAAUUACUGGGCGUAAAGCGCACGUAGGCGGCUUUGUAAGUUAGAGGUGAAAGCCCGGAGCUCAACUCCGGAACUGCCUUUAAGACUGCAUCGCUAGAACGAUGGAGAGGUAAGUGGAAUUCCGAGUGUAGAGGUGAAAUUCGUAGAUAUUCGGAAGAACACCAGUGGCGAAGGCGACUUACUGGACAUCUGUUGACGCUGAGGUGCGAAAAGCGUGGGGAGCAAACAGG
rnacentral:rRNA from 1 species